UACGGGGGGGGCAAGCGUUGUUCGGAAUUACUGGGCGUAAAGGGCUCGUAGGUGGCCAACUAAGUCGGACGUGAAAUCCCCAGGCUCAACUUGGGAACUGCGUCCGAUACUGGAUGGCUUGAAUUCGGGAGAGGGAUGCAGAAUUCCCGGUGUAGCGGUGAAAUGCGGCAGAUAUCGGGAGGAACACCAGUAGCGAAGGCGGCUCGCUGGGCCAUUCCUGACGCUGAGACGCGAAAGCUAGGGGAGCGAAACAGG
rnacentral:rRNA from 1 species